rnacentral:rRNA from 1 species
AUGUCGUUGUUCUGCAGCAGCCUGAAGUAUGCAGUCGCCGACGAGCAUCAGGUUGGUCUUCUCGGCCCCAACCUCCACGUUCUCGAAGUAUCCCCCGGCCUUGAUGUGGAGCACGUACCGCGUCGCGCUGUUGUUGGGCGCCGCCGCCAGCGCCUUCCCCACCGUCGUGAAGUUGCCGCUCCCGUCCUUGGCCACCACCAGGUCCGGCACGCCGACGCCCUGGUCCUGCUGCUGCCGCCGCCUCCGGUCCGCCGCCGUCACCCAUGUCGAGAACCCGCGGCGCACGGGCCCGUACCCCUCGAACGCCUCGGCCACACUUCUUCUUGUGAUUCUCGCGUGGAGGGCGACGUGGCGGCGAAGCUGGCCGCGAGCCUCGUCCUGGAGGAGACCGAUGCCGACCGCAUGUUCCAGGACUGGUCGUGCCAGUUCCGCAACAACAGGUACAACUACACGCCGGACACCGUGGGGGAGACCGGCGUGCAGGUUCACACGGACUCCGGCUUCCUCAUCGUGCUCCAGGAGGACGACCGCGUCAGCGGCCUCGAGGUGGCGGACCCAGACACCGGCGAGUUCGCACCCGUGGACCCUGUCCCGGGCACCUUCCUCGUCAACCUCGGCGACGUCGCCACGGUACAGAUGCUUACAUCUUCUGGCCUCCUACGUCUCCCAGGUUUGACUUCUUCUCUUGUGUGUGUGUCUGUCUAG